rnacentral:rRNA from 1 species
GAUGAACGCUGGCGGCGUGCCUAAUACAUGCAAGUCGAGCGAAAAGACGAGGAGCUUGCUCCGCUGACGUUAGGGGCGGGCGGGUGAGUAACACGUGGAUCACCUACCUAUAAGACUGAUAUCACUUCGAGACACCGGAUCUAAUACCAGAUAAUCUCUUGAACCGCAUGGUGGAAUGGUGAAAGACGGCUUUGCUGUAACUUAUAGAUGGAUCCCAGCCGCUUUAGCUGGUUGUUAAGGUAAAGGCUUACGAAGGCAAGGAUGCGUAGCCGACGGGACAGGGUGAUCGGCGACACUGGAACUGAGCCACGGUCCAGACGACUACGGGAGGGAGCAGAAGGCAACCUGCCGCAGUGGGCGAAAGCCUGACGGAGCAACGCCGCGUGAGUGAUGAAGGCCUCCGGAGCGUAAAACUCUGUUAUUAGGGAAGAACAACUGUGGAAUGAACCAUGCACGUCGUGACGGUACCUAAUCAGAAAGCCACGGCUAACUACGUG